UUAAUUCUAGGGGCGUUCCAUCUGGACGUGGGUUCAGCCUGGCUAUGUAGUAUCUCACUGGAACUCCUUCCAGAAAUCAAGGCUCUGUGAUCCAACAGAAGAAGGUAGAGCUGGGCCUGUGCCCCCCACUUCCUUCCUGGGAGACCACAGACAGGAGCCCUCGGAGCCCUUCCUGCUCACCUCCUGACCCCCAGCGCCCUGUCCUGCCACCUCAGGACGAGGAUAGGGCAGAUCGCCAGCGGCUGGCCAUGUCCCGCAACCCCACGCGCUUCCUGGGCCUUGGGGAGAGAAGCUAUCUCAGGGAGUUCCUGUUGACUGAGGGUGGUUUGGGGGCCGGCAGCACACUGACCCCCACAGAAGGUCCACCGGCCACCGAAGACAGAGGAAGGAGCCCUGUGUCCAGGAAGGAGUCGGGCCCUGCGGACACCCUCCUGCGAGCCCCGGGAGACCACAGCAGGCCUCUGACCUCCGGAACUGAAAAAGCAUAAUAAACCUGCUUUGUCAUAGCAGAUGAGGAACCUCAGACCCCUGGUGUCUGACACUGUCCUCAGUCGGUUCCCAGCCUUCUGGAAACGGAUUCCAGCACCGACCUUUCCUUCCAGCGCCUUGACCUCAGCCCCUGACGUGUCAUCCCAAACCUGGGAGCACCAGUGCCCAAAGCCCAGCCUGGCCACAUUCUGGAGGCCUGGGCUUCAUGUCCCAGGUGCUGCAGUGGCAGGUGGUGUGUGUAGAACAUUCAUCGGUUUCAAACACUAAAACCCCCUGAAAUGGUGCGUUCAGAGAUGAUCCACCUCCUCUGUCCCCUUCACACCCUCCCUCCCGCUC